UUCAGCAUAGAGGCAAAGAGGAGCAGGUUAUCUCGAUUCUGGCAGAAGAGGACAGAUCACCAUAAUGGGAUGUCUGAGUGGCUCAUCCUGGUCAGCACUAGAGAUUAGAAGAUUAUCCCAGUCUCUCCUAACAUCAUGGUUAAGGGUCCCCCCCCCCCAGUGGAGAUUCCUCAGUAUUUUUUAGAGAAAUUAUCUCUGACCAAUGAGGAAUAUCUUUGUUGCAUAUCAUCUCACACAAGUUCUGGUGAGCACAGACAUGAAGUAACUGGGCACACUUGUUAUAGCAGCUUCUCACUGUGCCCCCUGAGAGUCCUCAGACAUUAUCAACUUGUGUUUAAUCCACCAGAAAGUACCUACAAUCUAUACACAUGCACAGAUAUGCACACAUGUGUUUAUAUAUGUGGGUUUAUGUGUCAAGAUCUACAUGCAUGUAGAUGUUCUUUCAUGGUAAUAAAUGGUGAGAAUCAAUGUUUUUCUAUUGUUUUCCCACUACACCACCCUUCAGACUAUGGCUGACUUUCAAGUAACACACACACACACAUAUG
rnacentral:lncRNA from 1 species